rnacentral:lncRNA from 1 species
GAGAUGUCCAGGGGGCCUCCCACAUCCUAACCCUGAACCAGUUGUAUGUCAGUGUUUGUGGUCCUAGGAGUCAGAUGCAGGGACAUGUGGCCAUGCUGAGGCUGCAGGAGCCAGGAACCCCAGGAGAUGGGCCUUGCCCUUCUUCAGCAAAGGUAGGGCUAGAUGCCUCUUGUUACAGUUCCUUCUAGAGCAUUUUGUAACUGGGAAUGUGUGGAAUUGGGGGUGGGUGGGUGAGAAGGAUGAAUCCUGACUACUGAGCUAGGGAUAAAGGGCAAAGGACACUGAGCAGGCUCUUGUAAUAAUCCAGGCAAGCACUGAUGUGCUUUGGACCAUGAUGGUGGCAGUGGAAGUAGCAAGAAGUGAUUGGAUUCUCAAUAUAUUUGGGCAGCAGAACUUACAGGGUUCCCAAACAGGAUGAAUGUGGGUUGUAAGAAAAGAAGGGGAGCAAAGGACAGCUUCCAAGUUUUUGUUUCAAAGUAUUGUUAAUUACCAAGACAUGGAAGACUAUGGAGGGAACAUUUUUAAAUGACAGAAAACAGGAGUUCAAUUUGGGGCAUGUUAAAUAUGAGAGGAUUUUUAGAGAUCAGGUUGAGAUGUUGAGAAGGCAUUUGGACAUGUUAGCCUGGAGUUUAGGAGCAUUUGGUAUAUAUAAACUUGGAAGUCAGCAAUAAAUUGUAAUGGCAAACAAAUCCUCCUGCCUUGUAUACACAAGAGAGAUAUUAGGGGGAGUUGGGAGGACAGCUUCUAAAUAUUUGUUGGAUGAAUCAAUAAAUGGAAUGAAUUAUUUUUUCCAGCUGUACAUGGAGUUUGUUUAAGCCGUUUGUAUUGAACAGUUUGCAAUGUGAUCAACAGGACAUAUUUGGGGAAUAAUCGAGUAGGCCAGUGGUUCUUGGUGUGAGCUGGGAGAACUUUUGCAAUUGGAGAUGUUGUGAAAUCCUCUAGGGACUUUCUCAAGUUACACCACCAUUCUUGGUUGAAAUUGUUGUGGUGGGGAAAUUUUUUUUGAGAACCAUCGAGUUAGUGCUAGCAUAGAAUCUAACAAGAAAUGGCCCUGCAUCCAUUCUCUUUUCUUCUAAUAACAGCCCCAGAUUUCCAUUUUUGGACCUACCUUUUCCUUUUUAUCAGGCUAAGUGUUCAUGGUGGGGCUCUGUCCUUAGUUCCAGGGAUAAAGCCUGUGACCCAAACUUAAACCGCAGAUCAUUUUCCCCAGGCCAUGGAGAUUGUUUCAAAUGUGGGCACAUGGCCUGAAUGGGUCAUAUCAGAGUAAAUCUUAGGGCUUCUGGGUUAUGCCACCAUCACAGGCUCUUGCUUUCCUCACUGAACUUGAACCUAGACGGAUGUAAGCUGGAGCUGUGGCAGCCAUCAUUGCCCUGUGAAAAGUCCACUUGGAGCUGCCAAAGACCACCCCAGGAGCUUCAGAAUGAAGACAACCUGGAAGUCAGAGCUGACAGAAAUGCCUCUUAUUGUUUACAUUAUGAAGUCUCAACUUGGAUGGAAGCCCAACUGCAACACGGCCUCCUAAAAUGAGACGCAACUGUUCAACUGAACUGUUCUCAGGACUAAAAGGCUGUGUCAAUAAGAUACGGGGAAUAUUUGUUCUUCUGUGUGUUCCGAUCCUUGUUUUUCUUUCCCUUCGUUGAUCUCUUGUUUCACAACUUCCAACCCAAAUCUGCUCACAGCUACUAACUUGGCUUUUAACAUAUGAAACUUUCUAAAAGUAAAGUUUCAAAUGGGGAAUGAAGAGGCUCAGAAUACACUACCCCAAAACAUGUCACUCAGAACACAUCAUCCCCAAAUAUGCCACUUUGGCAUCAGAAUUAUUUUAAACUAAAGGCACAUAAAAACAGGAGAUGCAAGAAGAUCACUCUGACCUUCACUGUUCUUUAAAAGCCAGAGAUGAAAUUCCCAUGUGAAAGGUGUUCUCCCUAAACCAAGAAGAAAGUAACAUUCUCAUCACAAAGGAUAGGAAGUUGAGGCUGAUAGGAAUCUAUACAAGCAUCCCUUAUGUUCCUAAUUACUUAUUUACCCAGUUAUUUACCCUAGCAUAAGCCCCUUUGCCUUGUUACAUUUUCACAAUUCAGGGCAUAAAUGUUUGACUCUAGCUGCUGCUUUGUGUCUUCAUUUCCUUAUGAAUGCUCUCCUGCCAUUAAAAAACUUGCAUUAAAUAAUUUAUAUACUUUUCUCCUGUUGAUUUGUCUUAUGUCUAUUUAAUUCUCCAGGCCCAGGCAACAAACAAACAAACAAGAAAACAAAACAAAAACAAAAAACCCCCAACAACAACAACAACAAAACCAUAAAAGAGGAGGGGCAAAUUUUUGCCUCCUCUUCUGCAUUUUUCACAUGCUUUAUCCUGUUUUCACUUCUUUACUUUCUGGCACUAUAAGGUGUUCCAGGCUCAUCUUAUAUUUAUUUUCCCUAUCCUAGCCCUGGAAUCAGCCACUUCUACACUUCUUGAAGGAGUCCUGGUUCCUUUCAUCAGGGAACGGCAUUUCGAAAUCAAGAUCUGAGUGCUGGCUGUGCUCAUUGCUACUGGUGUCACUGCUCAUAGUCUCCUCUCUCUCAGUGGGCAGAGCUAGGUAAUUCAUGCUUUGGUACUCAAUGAAAUAAAAGAGGGCACAAACAAAU